rnacentral:rRNA from 1 species
GAACGCUGGCGGCGUGCUAACACAUGCAAGUCGAACGCGAAAGGGGACUUCGGUCCUGAGUAAAGUGGCGCACGGGUGAGUAACGCGUGGAUAAUCUGCCCUUAUGAUCGGGAUAACAGUUGGAAACGGCUGCUAAUACCGGAUACGCUCAAAAUGAACUUUUUGAGGAAAGAUGGCCUCUGCUUGCAUGCUAUCACGUAAGGAUGAGUCCGCGUCCCAUUAGCUUGUUGGCGGGUAACGGCCACCAAGGCAACGAUGGGUAGCCGAUUUGAGAGGAUGAUCGGCCACACUGGAACUGAAACACGGUCCAGACUCCUACGGGAGGCAGCAGUGGGGAAUAUUGCGCAAUGGGCGAAAGCCUGACGCAGCGACGCCGCGUGAGGGAUGAAAGGUUUUCGGAUCGUAAACCUCUGUCAGAAGGGAAGAAACUACGUUGUGCUAAUCAGCAGCGUACUGACGGUACCUUCAAAGGAAGCACCGGCUAACUCCGUGCCAGCAGCUGC